rnacentral:rRNA from 1 species
GACGAACGCUGGCGGCGUGCUUAACACAUGCAAGUCGAACGGAAAGGCCCUGCUUUUGUGGGGUGCUCGAGUGGCGAACGGGUGAGUAACACGUGAGUAACCUGCCCUUGACUUUGGGAUAACUUCAGGAAACUGGGGCUAAUACCGGAUAGGAGCUCCUGCUGCAUGGUGGGGGUUGGAAAGUUUCGGCGGUUGGGGCUGGACUCGCGGCUUAUCAGCUUGUUGGUGGGGUAGUGGCUUACCAAGGCUUUGACGGGUAGCCGGCCUGAGAGGGUGACCGGCCACCUUGGGACUGAGAUACGGCCCAGACUCCUACGGGAGGCAGCAGUGGGGGAUAUUGCACAAUGGGCGGAAGCCUGAUGCAGCAACGCCGCGUGCUGGAUGACGGCCUUCGGGUUGUAAACCGCUUUCGCCUGUGACGAAGCGUGAGUGACGGUAAUGGGUAAAGAAGCACCGGCUAACUACGUG